GUACUUUCACAGUGGGGAGAGAGAAGAAGGAUCUCUUUGGGACCUCGGGUUGGCUCACAGGGCCCUCUCUUUCCUCGAGGUGGGCAGCAUGC